rnacentral:misc_RNA from 1 species
GGAUGCAACAGCUGACGAGGAGCUAGAGUAUGAGGAUGAAGAGGAAGGUGAACUUCAGGAGGGUUGAUCUGUGUUUGUUAUAUGGUUCUAAACAUGUUUAUGUGUGCGGUUUGGCGGUGCGACUGAUGUUUGGUUGGAUAUUGGGUUUCUGUUGCAAUUUCUAGUUGCUUUUAGUGUGGGUUAUUGGUGAUUGUCGUUCUUAGUUUUAUUUUUCUAGUUCAGGAUAUUUUUCUAUAUGGUCAUCUGAGGGUAUACCUUGA